CCCAUAAACUUUGCCGACUUCGGAUCGGAUUAUGUUAAUCCUUUAAUGACCCAUUCGGCAUCUUACGGGAGACCAAAGUUGUUGGGUUCCCGGGGGAGUCUGGUCGCAAGUCUGAAACCUUAAGGAAUUUACGGAAGGGCCCCACCAGGGUUGGAGCCUGGGGCUUAAUUCGACUCAACAGGGGGAAACUAACCAGGUCCGGACAUAGUAGGGAUUGACAAAUUGAGAGCUCUUUCUUGAUUCUAUGGGUUGUGGUGCAUGGCCGUUCUUGGUUGGUGGAGUGAUUUGUCGGGUUAAUUCGGUUAACGAACGAGACCUUAACCUGCUAAACAGCUAGGCUUAACUUUGUUGGGUCGUCAGUUUUUUAGAGGGACUAUCGGUUUUUAACCGAUGGAAGUUUGAGGCAAUAAGAGGUCUGUGUUGCCCUUAGCUGUUCUGGGUCGCACGCGCGCUACACUGAGGAAGUCAACCAGUUCAUUUGCUUUAUCGGAAGAUAUGGGAAAUCUUUUGAAACUUCAUCUUGCUGGGGAUACAUCAUUGCAAAUAUUGCUCUUCAACGACGAAUCCCUAAUAAGCACAAUUCAUCAGCUUGUGCUGAUUCCGUCCCUGCCCUUUGUACAAACCGCCCGUUGCUACUACCGAUUGAAUGGUUUAGUUAGACCCUCGGAUUUACGUUCAUCUGCUGUAAAAGGCUCUUGUUUUUUGAAAAGUUUUCAAACUUGGUCAUUUGAGGAAGUA
rnacentral:rRNA from 1 species